GAUGAACGCUGGCGGCGUGCCUAAUACAUGCAAGUCGAGCGAACAGACGAGGAGCUUGCUCCUCUGACGUUAGCGGCGGACGGGUGAGUAACACGUGGAUAACCUACCUAUAAGACUGGGAUAACUUCGGGAAACCGGAGCUAAUACCGGAUAAUAUAUUGAACCGCAUGGUUCAAUAGUGAAAGACGGUUUUGCUGUCACUUAUAGAUGGAUCCGCGCCGCAUUAGCUAGUUGGUAAGGUAACGGCUUACCAAGGCAACGAUGCGUAGCCGAACUGAGAGGGUGGUCGGCCACACUGGAGCUGAGCCGCGGUCCAGACUCCUGCGGGAGGCAGCAGUAGGGAAUCUUACGCAAUGGGGGAAAGCCUGACGGAGCAACGCCGCGUGAGUGAUGAAGGUCUUCCGAUCGUAAAGCUCUGUUAUUAGGGAAGAACAAAUGUGUAAGUAACUAUGCACGUCUUGACGGUACCUAAUCAGAAAGCCCCGGCUAACUACGUG
rnacentral:rRNA from 1 species